rnacentral:rRNA from 1 species
GGGGGGGGGGCAAGCGUUGUUCGGAAUUACUGGGCGUAAAGGGCGCGCAGGCGGCCUGGCAAGUCCUACGUGAAAUCCCACAGCUUAACUGUGGAACUGCGUGGGAUACUGCCAGGCUUGAGUCCGGGAGAGGAGAGUGGAAUUCCCAGUGUAGCGGUGAAAUGCGUAGAUAUUGGGAGGAACACCGGUGGCGAAGGCGGCUCUCUGGACCGGUACUGACGCUGAGGCGCGAAAGCUAGGGGAGCAAACGGGAUUAGAUACCCCGGUAGUCCUAGCCGUAAACUUUGAGCACUUUGUGUGGCGGGUAUCGACCCCUGCCGUGCAGAAGCUAACGCAUUAAGUGCUCCGCCUGGGGAGUACGGUCGCAAGGCUG